AGCGAACGCUGGCGGCAGGCUUAACACAUGCAAGUCGAGCGGGCCCUUCGGGGUCAGCGGCAGACGGGUGAGUAACACGUGGGAACGUACCCUUUGGUUCGGAAUAACGCUGGGAAACUAGCGCUAAUACCGGAUACGCCCUUUUGGGGAAAGGCUUGCUGCCGAAGGAUCGGCCCGCGUCUGAUUAGCUAGUUGGUGGGGUAAUGGCCUACCAAGGCGACGAUCAGUAGCUGGUCUGAGAGGAUGAUCCGACACACUGGGACUGAGACACGGCCCAGACUCCUACGGGAGGCAGCAGUGGGGAAUAUUGGACAAUGGGCGCAAGCCUGAUCCAGCCAUGCCGCGUGAGUGAUGAAGGCCUUAGGGUUGUAAAGCUCUUUUGUCCGGGACGAUAAUGACGGUACCGGAAGAAUAAGCCCCGGCUAACUUCGUG
rnacentral:rRNA from 1 species